CCCCAAAAUUUUAGCCUUCCUUUAAAGCCGCCCCUGCCCUUGCUUUUUCUCUCUUUUCAGCGGCCACCGCCCUUCCAACAGCUCUACCUUCUCCGCCACCUGAAGCUCCAGUGUUUACCCGAAGUUUCUUUUCAGACCCCCUCCAGCAAUGGGCACAGCAAACAUAAGGGAUAUUUGGACUUGUUUUAGUCCUUCGUUGGACUUCUUUGCUAUAAGUUCUGGUGAUGGCCGUAUCAAGAUAUGGGAUACUGUGAAGGGUCAGGUACAGACCGAGUUUGCAGAUAUUGUGUCAAUGGAGACAGAAAGCUUGUUUACUAAGCCAGGAGGUCAUCUUUCAAUGGAUUAUACUUGCAUGAAGUGGUUAUCAUGUGACAGAAAGAAAAAGAGGAAGCUUGGAACUUCAUUAUUGGUGUUAGGUACAGGAAGUGGUGAUGUUUUGGCUCUAGAUGUAUCUGCAGGUCAUCUGAAAUGGAGAUUUAGUGAUUGCCAUCCUGGCGGUGUCAACGCCAUCUCAUUCCCUUCACAUGGCUCAUUCAUUUACACUGCUGGUGCUGAUGGACUAGUUUGCAAAAUUGACUCCAUGUCGGGGAAUUUACUGCAUAAGUUUAAAGCUUCCACUAAAGCAAUAUCAUCUUUAUCCAUUUCAUCAGAUGGGAAAAUAUUAGCAAUAGCAACUUCUCAGUUGAAAAUUUUCAAUUGCUUGGAUGAGAAAAAGCUCCAGAAAUUUUCAGGCCACCCUGGGGCUGUCCGGUGUAUGGUCUUCUCUGAAGAUGGGAGACAUGUUCUUUCUUCUGCUAUUGGUGACCGACAUGUAGCAGUUUGGAAGUUAGAUGGUAGCAAAAAGAAAUCAGCAUGCUGCUUGCUUGCAAUGGAUCACCCUGCUGUCUUUUUGGAUAGCUACAACAAUAAAUAUGGAGCUGAAAAUGAUGCAGGCUUAGGUGUUUUGGCCAUUUCAGAAUUUGGUGUUUGCUACUUUUGGCAUGGAAAGAGCUUUGAGGAAUUGCACAAUAGGAAGCCCACAAAGAUAUGCACAUCUUUAGAUGAGAAAAUACUGAAGAAACAUAAAGAAGCCGUGCAUAGUAUUUUUUCAGCAAAAUUGCAAUCUAUCGGCACAUCUGGUUCCGGCCAUAUGUUUGUUGCAUAUGGCUUGUUGAUAAAACCAUCAUUUGAAAAAGUUAUGGUGCAGCCUGGGGAGGAUGUCAGAUUAAAAAGUUCACUUGACGGGAUCCUUCUUCCCUUCAGUCAAUCUUGCAAAUCUAACCAAGCAUCCAACACCCAGAGUCAGGUUACUGCUCUCGAUCGUGCAAAUGCAGAGGGUGCGUUACUUCCUUUGCCUAUGAUUCUUGAUCAGGGGGGCUUGGAGACUGGAAAUAAGCCCAUAGUUAGCAAAGAUGUCAUUGGUAAACAAGGAGAAGAUGAGGUCACAAUUUGCAUGGAGGACCAGUUAAGAUCCUUGGGUAUAAUUAGCAGCGACUAUGAUCUCUCGCCUACCUCAAGUCUUGAUGCUAAGAUUUUGAAGAGAAUAAGUGUUGAUGCUAGUGCACCACAAAAGAAGAUGAAGGCAGCUGUUUUAUCCAUGGAACCGCAUGAUGCUUACAACUUUUUGAAAGCCUUGGUUGCUGCAUGGCAGUCCAGAUCAAGCUUGGGAACACAUGUUCUUCCAUGGAUAUGUUGUAUAUUGGUGAACCACAAUGAAUUUGUUACAUCGCAGGAACAACGGACGCCUCUUCUGGAUUCCAUGAACAAGCUUACCAAGUCAAAGGUUUUAGCCCUUAACUCAUUAUUGCAGUUAUCUGGCUGUUUACAACUCGUUAUGGCACAGAUCGAGAAGGCUGAUAAUAAGAAAGGUUCAGCAUUAACACUCGAGCGCAAGAUGAUUGAUAGUGAGGAUGAUGAGGUAGAUGAAGUUAUGUAUGGCAUAGAUGAAUCUCAGACGAGCAGUGAUGGGGAUGACUAGGACUUUUUGGGUUUUAUGUUGCGGACCAUGUGUUUCCAUCAUUCUCAUGCCAAUGAAAUACUGGCUGGGGACCCUUUAGUAGCUUUGUGGCUCUAACAGAAUUGAUUUAGCACGACACUCUGAAUCAAGCCGUUACUGGUAGACAGUUGCUGUCUCAAAUUUUCCUCUUUCCUCAGCGGGGGAACUCUAUGUUCCAGCAUUUUAUUGGAAGUAUUGUUGAUGGUGAAGCGUGUACCUUAUUGUGUGUGACUUGACUUGCUUAGUAACAUGCAAGUUGUCCAGGUGUGGCUGGCUGAAAUAUGUAUCUAAGGAAGCUACAAACUAGUUGGGCUUAACUCUUUACUGGUGGCCAUUUGCUUCAAUCACUUACAAUUCGUUUUCCCCUAAAUCCUCACACUUCCUGUGAAAGUAACCAGAAAAGCCUCCUGUUAUACAAUAGACCUUAUGUCAGUAACGACGAAGUUUUAGCAGCACUUGAUUGGGUAUUUACAUCCCUGGGAAAAUAAGUUUGCAAGCUUAUUUGUUAGGGUGAACUUUUAUGUUGUACGCCUUGCAUUUAAGCUGUUAUUGUAAAUUGGCAUGGGUGAGUUUUAGAUGUUUGGAUGAGCAAUUUUUUCUUGCUUC